rnacentral:rRNA from 1 species
AGUGAACGCUGGCGGUAGGCCUAACACAUGCAAGUCGAACGGCAGCACAGUAAGAGCUUGCUCUUACGGGUGGCGAGUGGCGGACGGGUGAGGAAUACAUCGGAAUCUACUUUUUCGUGGGGGAUAACGUAGGGAAACUUACGCUAAUACCGCAUACGACCUACGGGUGAAAGCUGGGGAUCUUCGGACCUUGCGCGAUUGAAUGAGCCGAUGUCGGAUUAGCUAGUUGGCGGGGUAAAGGCCCACCAAGGCGACGAUCCGUAGCUGGUCUGAGAGGAUGAUCAGCCACACUGGAACUGAGACACGGUCCCGACUCCUACGGGAGGCAGCAGUGGGGAAUAUUGGACAAUGGGCGCAAGCCUGAUCCAGCCAUACCGCGUGGGUGAAGAAGGCCUUCGGGUUGUAAAGCCCUUUUGUUGGGAAAGAAAAGCAGCAGGUUAAUACCCCGCUGUUCUGACGGUACCCAAAGAAUAAGCACCGGCUAACUUCGUG